AAAAAUUGAAAAAAAAAACCAAAA
rnacentral:sRNA from 1 species